UGAAACCCAGCCAGAAAAAAAAAAAAAAAAACCCAAAGAGGGAGAAAAAAAAUACAAAGAGAGAGAGGGAAAAAAAGAGAGAGAGUAAUGAAGAAGUUCACUUCACGGAUUCUUCUUUAAUCUUUAAGCCUUAAAUCUCUUUACAUUUUACUGUUUUACCAUCCCACUUUUCUUCCUUAAUAUUAUCGAAUCCAACUGGGAUUUUGAAUUUUUCGCCUUUUUAAAGGAAAAAAUGAGUCGAUUAGGGUUUAAAUCCAUGGUGUAUCAUGGAGACUUUUUUUUGGGUGAACUGAACACUAUCCCUAUCACGGACUCGAAUUUCCAGUUCCCGAAUAACGAAAUUCGUAUCCACCACAUCUCCCCUACCAGCGAACGAUGCAUUCCUCUUUCGAUUCUCCACACGAUUUCCUCAUUUCCCGUUCGUUGCAAGCUCGAAUCCCCUUCUCCCGUAGAACAGCCGCAUUUGAUUCAUCUUCACGCCUCUUGCUUUUACGAAUUCAAGACGGCGGUGGUUUUGGUUGGAGAUGAAGAGGUGCACUUAGUGGCAAUGCCGAGUAAACAGAAGAAGUUUCCUUGUUUUUGGUGCUUUUCGGUUUCUACGGGACUGUACAAUUCUUGCUUAGGGAUGCUUAACUUGAGGUGUCUCGCGAUUGUUUUCGAUCUCGAUGAAACGUUGAUUGUUGCCAACACGAUGAAGUCGUUUGAGGAUAGGAUCGAAGUGCUUAGGGGUUGGAUUGCGCGGGAGAGUGAUCCGAUUCGUCAUUCAGGGAUGUCGGCUGAAUUGAGAAGGUAUAUAGAUGAUCGGUUGCUGUUGAAGCAGUACGCGGAGAGUGAUUGUGUUGUUGAUAAUGGAAAAAUGUUUAAAGUUCAGAUGGAAGAGGUUCCACCUUUGUCUGAUGGCCAUGAGAAAGUUGUUCGGCCUGUGAUUAGGUUGCAAGACAGAAAUAUUGUCCUUACUCGUAUCAAUCCUGAGAUUCGGGAUACCAGUGUGCUGGUGAGGUUACGACCAGCGUGGGAGGAAUUGAGAAGCUAUUUGACUGCGAAAGGACGAAAGCGCUUUGAAGUAUAUGUUUGUACUAUGGCUGAAAGAGAUUAUGCAUUAGAGAUGUGGAGGCUUCUUGAUCCUGGGGCACAUCUGAUAGGUUCAAAACAACUACUGGACCGUGUUGUUUGUGUCAAAUCUGGUUCCAGGAAAUCUUUGCUAAAUGUGUUCCGUGAUGGCAAGUGCCAUCCACAGAUGGCAAUGGUAAUUGAUGAUCGUUCAAAGGUCUGGGAGGAUAAGGAUCAACCUCGAGUUCAUGUAGUUCCUCCAUUUGCUCCGUAUUAUGCUCCUCAGGCGGAGACAGCAAAUGCAGUUCCAGUCCUCUGUGUGGCAAGAAAUGUUGCAUGCAAUGCCCGGGGUUUGUUUUUCAAAGAGUUUGAUGAGAAUGUAUUGCGGAAGAUGUCUGAAGUUUUUUAUGAAGAUGAGGUGGUAAAUCUGCCUGUUGCCCCUGAUGUGAGCAACUAUUUGAUGUCAGAGGAAGCUAGUUUUGCUUCAAAUGGGAACAGUGGAGCUCCUAUCUGUGAAGGAAUGAAUGGAGCUGAAGUUGAGCGGAGGAUGAAUCAGUCGGAGGAGAAGCAUGUUUUGGACUCUUCCACUCGUCCAGUUACAAAUAACCCUGAGUUGCGGUCUGAAACCUCUCAGCCACCUGUUACAGAUAUUGUUGGUCCUGUAUUUCCAGUAGCACCAUUGCCUUCUCAGAAACCUAGUAUACUUGGAGCUCCUGGUCUGCUUUCAAAUCCUAUGAUGCUUGGAGCUUCUGUAAGAAGAGAUAACAACGGUAGUGAAGGUGAUUAUGACAUGAAGAGAAGAGCCCUUGGCAUAAAACAGAGUUUAGACUUAAGGAAACAGAGCUCGAUCCAACCUCCACUCCUACCUAAAUUUCCGAUACAGACAUCAUCAUCAUCACUAGUGCCUCAGGGAGGUUGGUUGGUGGAAGAAGACAUCAAUGAAUCACAUCUAAAUGAUCGACCAUCAGGCACCGCACAAGAAUCUGAUGUAAUAAAAUCUGAUAAAUUGCGAGGUUAUCAGAAUCCGUUUUCUCAUACAGCACCUGGUUCUGUUUCCAUUGGUUUACCAUCGUAUGCAUCCCAAGUGAAGAUUGAAGAGGCACGUACUGGACUGGAUACACCAAAGCAGAAUGUUCUGCCUACUGCUCAUUUAUCAGAGAUAGGUGGAACUCAGAAUCAUCUGCCUUCUAUUACUAGAGAAUUGCAGUCUGAAGGUGCAAAAAUGAAUCUUCUACCCUCCCAUUUGUCGAUAGGUGUUCUACAAGAAAUUGGACGAAGAUGUGGUUCAAAGGUUGAGUUCAGGUCUGUGGUAAGCACCAGUAAGGAUUUGCAGUUUUCUGUUGAGGUUUUAUUCACUGGGGAGAAGAUUGGUGUUGGAAUGGGUAAGACAAGGAGGGAUGCUCAGCAGCAAGCUGCUGAGCUUGCGCUUCAUAAUUUAGCAGAAAAAUAUGUAGCAUAUAUAGCGCCUCGUUCGGGAGCUGUGGAUAGAGAUUUCAAUAAUCUCUCUCUUGGAACUGAAAAUGGAUUUCUAUGGGACGUGAAUCCUGCAUCCAAUGAAGCAAUAAAAGAAGGGUUUCCUAAAGAUAAUACUUCUGAGGCUGCUGAAGAACCUGGGAGUAAUUCAUCCAGUAUAGCAAAUCAACCAGUUGAAAAACGUGCUAAUUCACCAAGGAGUUAGGACUGCUAUUGCAAAUCUUCAUCAGACAGUGACUGGGUUUCAUUGUGGAAACUUUCCUGGUUUCUCGCCUAUCCAUCACCAACGUGGACUCACUUUUUGAAUGGAAUAGUAAUUGUCCGAAUCUAUGCCGAGCAAACGGUCAAAGGAAGGAGUUCUGCGAAGAUUAGGAAGUAGUCUAUCAUCCUCACGGCAAUCAAAAAAUGAGCAUACCAUUUCAUGACAAGCCAUGAGAAGGUUUUGAGAUGACAUGAAUUUUGCAUAGCAGAUGUGCAUCAGAGAUACCAACCUUUUUUGCAGAAUUAGGAUUUAUAACUAAUUCUGAGGUAAAUAGAUCUCUUCUGGAAAUAUGGAGGCAAUCUUUAAAUUUUUUUGUGAUCCUUUUUAACCUAACAUUUCCUGCAAUGUGUAUGAUCAAAGGCAGAGCUUUAUUCUCAGAUCACAAUUUCAAUGACCGAUACGAAUUUUUCGGCCCCAAUCCUAUCUCUUCUCUUCGGGUAAUUUACAUUCUAGAUCACCGAUAAUCCGACUUAAAUUGUAAAUUGUUUCCUCUUCUCUGCAUCUCUUCAUGCUUGCAUAUGCAUGUGCAAGUAUAUUUCGGUACUUGCAGAUUUGAUGUAUUCCCCUUUUAUACCAUUCAUUGUCAAAAGUUUCAAAUUCAUCGUGGAAUUAGCAUUUCAUAUUAUGA